CAAAUUUUAUUUAUUUUGUAAACAAAAUGUAUGUAUGUAUUUUAUUUAUAGAUAAACUUAAAUAUUUGAUUAUAAUAUUUAGACAACCCCGAAAAUUGAGCAAUGGAUAAGAUGAAUUUCUUUUAAUUUUAGUAUUCAUGAAUACAUUUUGGUACUGGUUUGUGGUUAUAGCCCCGCCAUCCAUAUAACAAAAAAUACAUCCGAUUAUAAAUAUAAAAUAAUUUGAUGGAAAAUACGU